rnacentral:tRNA from 1 species
GUUAGCAUAGUUUAACAAAAACACUAGGAUGUGGCCCUAAAAACAGAA